UUGCCUGAAGAAAGUUAUUUGGAUGAUUCAUCCCCACAGUUCAAAAACUGCACCAGUUUGGAGUAGUCUGGUUCCCUGGGGCUCCAUUUACAGCUUGGUCUGCUGGUCUGCAGAGCUGCUUCAUACCAAAGAAGAGAUCAUUCUCUCCAAUCAGUGGAAAAAGUCUUAGUUAUAGAGAUGUCUCCAGGAUUGAAAAUUUUCUGUUCUCAGGGUCUAUACUGCAGCUGGGAACCUGCCUUGGUGACUGCUCACCUAUCCCUCUUACUGGGUCACCUGCACCUUGGAAAAAUCUGGCUACUGACUCAAGCUCAGAUGAGUUUGAUGAUUCUAGUUGUUCUCAGUGCUCCUUUGGUGCAAGAUGCUAUAAACUGCAUCUGAUCUUUUCCUGUAAGACCAUAUCCAAAUAUCUUCCUUCUUUCUUAAGGAAACAAAGGCAACCCACCUCUGAAUUUGGAAAGGAGGAAGCAGCCAAGCACAAACACAAGCAGCAGAGCCGAAAAGCAGUGUCAGAGCUGAAAAUACAGCUGCAGGAUGGGGGAAGAUGCUUGUCAUCACUGGGAGGCUUUGCUGUAGGGAGCUGGCUGAUGGCAAGAAGAGAGGAAUAACUGCAUGUGCUAGGCUAGAAUGCUGGCAUGACUCCACUCAGCAAAGGGACCACUGAGACACAGAAGACCAAGGGGAUCAGUCAGCAGUGACCUGCAGCCAGUUCCCAGCCCCUUGAAAAGCAUGGCUUAAGUUGACAGCUGGCUUAGAGGUGUUCAAAGGAGCUGCACCUUCUUCAGUGUGGCCGUGCAGCUGCAAAGUCUGGGGAUCUGAGCAGUGCUUUAAUGCUGAGCAUGACCUUAAUUGUACAAAGACAGAAGAAACUUGAGAGCCUCUGCUGGCUCAGCUUGGCAUGAUGUGCAAGCAUGCUGGCACCCUUUCAUCCCAGACAUUCAAAUGUGAUGCAGGAUUUUCCCAAGCUGUUUCCAGCUGCAGCUUUGAUAGAUUUAGCCCUUCCAGCACAUAGAAAGCAAGAGCAGUGAGUGUUUCUGAUGCCAGGUUGUGUAACCCAGCAUUAGGAGCUUGUCCCAGGCCCUACACUGAGAAACCAUAUUCUCCACUCCAGGAGAGGCCUGCAGCCUGGAUCACUCACCUGCAGAUGUCCACCAGACCAGGCAUUAUCUCUGAGUGCUUGUUGUAACUUGCCUUGCUGCUGCAUUGCUGUCCUGUAAAAAAAGGGAAAAUUACUAAAAUGCUCAGUCAUCCUGCUAUUAACCCCCCAGGAGUGCAUCCCUGCUGGCUUUAUGGCUCACUGUUUAUCAGCACUGGGCUGCUGUUGCAGGGCAUUUAGAAGCAUUGAAAGAUUUGUGCGUAGAUUCAUUGGUUGUCUAAGAGAUCUUGUUGAUCACCAACUUAAAAGUUAGUGUGUGUCUGCUAUGAUUGCUUGCAUGGCUAUAAAACAUUAAAGAGAUAAUUGUUC
rnacentral:lncRNA from 1 species